UAGGGAAUCUUCCGCAAUGGACGCAAGUCUGACGGAGCAACGCCGCGUGAGUGAAGAAGGAUUUCGGUUCGUAAAACUCUGUUGUUAGAGAAGAACAGCGCAUAGAGUAACUGUUAUGCGUGUGACGGUAUCUAACCAGAAAGCCACGGCUAACUACGUGCCAGCAGCCGCGGUAAUACGUAGGUGGCAAGCGUUGUCCGGAUUUAUUGGGCGUAAAGCGAGCGCAGGCGGUCAAUUAAGUCUGAUGUGAAAGCCCCCGGCUCAACCGGGGAGGGUCAUUGGAAACUGGUUGACUUGAGUAGUGGAGAGGAAAGUGGAAUUCCUAGUGUAGUGGUGAAAUACGUAGAUAUUAGGAGGAAUACCAGGAGCGAAGGCGACUUUCUGGACACAAACUGACGCUGAGGUACGAAAGCGUGGGGAGCAAACAGG
rnacentral:rRNA from 1 species